AGCUGCUUGUUUAGAUUGCCUGCCUCCCCCUGCAAUUCUCUCUCUCCCUGCUCGUUUACCUUGCCGUUCCUUUAGAGUGCCUGCCUCCCCCUGCAUUUCUCUCUCUCUCUGGAGCCUCAGCCUUGCUCUCCAGCGGGAGGUUCACUCAUCACUGCCUGAUGCUGUGCCUCUCACUCAGGCUCCCACUACGUUACUCACUGGCUGCAUUUUAACUUCCGGUGCUGUGCGGCGGAACAGCGUCGGGGACGCGCACAAAGUGGUCGCCUUUUCGCCGUUUUCCAUGGCAAUGGAGAAUAGGAAAUCCUAAUUGGCCAGCUUCUGUAGUGGCCCCAAUUCUGAAGGAAUGAGUACAAAAAAUCUCUGGGGAUAUGGAAUUUGCCUUUAAACAGGCUCUAAAAAUUGGUAACGGGAAAACAAAACUACCAUCUUCGUGGAUAAGAAAUUGGCCCUGGUUGUCUCUUCUUAUAUUCAGUGCAUACCCUUGUGAAUCCUGAACUGGACUGAAACUCAAGCAGCCCUUGUAAUACAAUUACCCAUCCUACAAUAUGAGUUUAUAGUAGAUCAGUACAGCCUCUUCAUUAGUGUGCUUGUUCAUUUGUAUUAUUUCCAAUUUUUAUUAACAUUAAGUUUAUUUUGAUUUUCUUUUGGAGGUCUUUAUUUUAGUGUUGCAUAAUACACUAUGCAUUUCAUUUGCGCUCAUUUUUCUUACUUUCUACAGUACACCAUAUAUUCCGAAGCAUUUUUUAUAACAUACUUUAUACAGCUAUUUAGCAAUCUGCUUUUGCAGCUUAUAGCUUUAUUUAAUACAGUGGCAUGUAUAUUUUAUGCAACUGUUAAUCUAUUUACUGUUUAGGUAUUUGUUGGAGUAUUUGGAACUGUAGCAUGUACAUUCUGAAUAUUCUGUAUAACAUCUCAACAUUUGGUUCCUUUCCUUCUUACAGGUUUAGUUAUCACUGUAGGUGGGCAGGUAAAUUGUGGCAAUAAUGAGAACUUGAGAUAUCAUUGUGGAAGUCCCAGCUGCAAUUACUCAGUUUCAAACUGUGUCACAAGCAGCCCACCACUGUUCUAAUUCUUCCUCUGGCCCAGAGCUGGCACAGUAAUAUAAGAUGGCAACAUCUUUCAUGCAACUAGCCAUUUUUUGUAAAAGAUGCAGAGGACCAUGCUUUCAGGGACUUCAUUUUUUAAAAUAAAAAUUAUUUUCUGAAUAGAAUGAUGUAAAUAAGCAUCCAGUUAUUUCUUUACAUAAGUACUUUUUUUCAUACAGGAAUACUGGAGGCCUCAUCACCUCCAUUUACUCAUUUAAAUAUGUACCUUUAUAUGCUGUUAUAUAUUUUCAUGCCUACAAGUAAACGUGGCCAUACAC